rnacentral:rRNA from 1 species
CCAAUAGCGUAUAUUAAAGUUGUUGCAGUUAAAAAGCUCGUAGUUGAAUUUCGGGAUUGACGCGAUGGUCAUGCCUUAAGGGGUAUGAACUGUUAUAGUUGAUUUCUCACCUUCUGGAGAAACUUGAUGUCCUUUAUUGGGUGCCGCGGGGAACCAGGACCUUUACUUUGAAAAAAUUAGAGUGUUUAAAGCAGGCAUUUUGCUUGAAUACAUUAGCAUGGAAUAAUAAAAUAGGACGGAUGGUUCUAUUUUGUUGGUUUCUAGGAUCACCGUAAUGAUUAAUAGGGAUAGUUGGGGGCAUUAGUAUUCAAUUGUCAGAGGUGAAAUUCUUGGAUUUAUUGAAGACUAACUACUGCGAAAGCAUUUGCCAAGGAUGUUUUCAUUAAUCAAGAACGAAAGUUAGGGGAUCGAAGACGAUCAGAUACCGUCGUAGUCUUAACCAUAAACUAUGCCGACUAGGAAUCAGACGAUGUUAAUUUUUUAAUGACUCGUUUGGCACCUUACG